rnacentral:tRNA from 1 species
UGGUCCAGUCGUUAGGACUCUGCGCUUCCAAUGCAGGGGCCACAGGUUCAGUUCCUGA